GUGCUCAAUUCAACCGUACAUUUCUAAAAUUGGAACAAUACAUAGAAUAUUAGCAUGGCCCCUACACAAGGACAAUGUGUAAAUUUGUGAAGCAUUUCAUAACAAA